CCCCCGAUUUCCUGGCCCGGCUCGGCCCUUCCUGCCCCCCCCGGCCCCCGGGAAGCGGCACCGGGCGCGUUCUCCGGGAAUUCUCCGGGAAUUCUCCGGGAGCUCGGCAGCGCCGGCACCGCGACGAUGCUCCCCGAGGAGCGCAAGGAGGGCUCGCGCCCGCUUCGGGAAGCUCCAUUUCCCCGUGGGGCUCUGGAUCAACUCCCCCAAGAAGCGCCUGGCCAAGAUGAGCCGGCGCUGGCCCAGCGCGGGCUCCGUCCGCUCCACCUCCUCGGACACGCCCAGCCGCGCCAGCGACCCCUCGGACCCCCGCCCCAUUUCCGGGGCCGCCGCCGCGUCCCCUGCCAAAGCGAAGCCGCCGCGGCACAAGCGCCUGUCGCACCUGUUCCACCGCGCCACCCGGCGUGCAGCGGCGGCAGCGGCGGCAGCGGCGGCAGCGCGGGCCCGGCGCACCCGCACUCCCGCUGGGCCAGCGAGAAGAAGCUCAGCGACCUCCGCGACCCCCGCGGCCCUUCUGGGCUCGGGGUCUGCCGAGCCCCCGUGCAUCCUCAAGAUCUUCGGUGGCGCCAUCUCGCGCGGCGCCAACUACAAGCGUGCUAGCCGACGCGCUGCAGCGCCAGCGCUGGUCCUUGGCGCGUCGGCGCCCGGGCUCGACCCGAGGACUUCGGGCAGUUCGCGCUCUGCGGCGUGGUAGGCGGGCCGGCGGCGCGGGCGGCGCCUGGCAGGGCGAGCACCUGCGCGAGGUGGGCGGCAGCGGAGCGCGCUGCUGCUGCAGGAGCUCUGGAAGCCCAAGGCCGGCUGGUCGCGCCGCUUCGAGAUCCGCCGCCGCCAGGACCUGGACCGCGACCGCGACAGCAGCGGCGGAGGGGACGACGGCGACGGGGGCGACGGGGCCGGUGAGGGGCGUGUGACACUUUCAUUGCGGUUUUACCCCGGUUUUCCCCAUUUUUUUCGCCCUUAAUCCCAUUUUUCCACAUCUUCCCCCGUUUUCCCCCCAUUUUUUCCCCCCUUAAUCUUGUUUUCCCCAUUUUUUUUCACCCGUA
rnacentral:lncRNA from 14 species